rnacentral:rRNA from 1 species
AUUGAACGCUGGCGGCAGGCCUAACACAUGCAAGUCGAACGAGUGGCGGACGGGUGAGUAAUGUCUGGGAAACUGCCUGAUGGAGGGGGAUAACUACUGGAAACGGUAGCUAAUACCGCAUACCAUCGGAUGUGCCCAGCUGGGAUUGUCUAGUAGGUGGGGUAAAGGCUCACCUAGGCGACGAUCCCUAGCUGGUCUGCGAGGAUGACCAGCCACACUGGAAAUGAGACACGGUCCAGAAUCCUACGGGAGGCAGCAGUGGGGAAUAUUGCACAAUGGGCGCAAGCCGGAUGCAGCCAGGCCGAGUGUAGGAAGAAGGCCUUCGGGUUGUAAAGUACGUUCAGCGGGGAGGCGUUACCCGCAUAAGAAGCACCGGCUAACUCCGUGCCAGCAGCCGCGGUAAUAC